CCUUUUUUCACAACGAUUCUUCUGGUUCAAUCGCGGAUUUUCUGCUGUAAUUUUAUUUCAACUGCCGCCACAUCUAUAAACAUGACUGAAGCAAUAUCGCAUGCUCCACAAAUAAGACAAAAUCUUCCUCGUGAUAAAACCGUAAGUUACGGGGAUGAUUUCUCCCUUGUGGUACGUUUUGCUGGGGCUCCGGAAUUUGUUACAUGGUGGGAAAAACCAAGCAACGCACGAGUACAGAUUGAGCGUCCGAACAGUUAUACAUCGGUGUUAAGGGUCUACAAUGCGAGCUUUUCACAUUCAGGAGAUUAUCAGUUCAUAGUGUCAAAUGACUAUGGCAAAAAGACCAGUAAACGUUGCAGUGUACAAGUACAGUUCCUUUAGUAGGCUGUCACUGAUUGGUGCUGAGAGAAUCACAUUUCCAUUUAGGAAGAAUCACGGUGUGUAUUAUUGUAGAAGAAAUAACAUGGAACCAAACAGGUUGCAGAUCUGACAUUUCGAUGUAAUACUAAUAGAACAUAUGCACAACAUUUCACUAAAAUAUUUCAUUGUAUAUUGAUUUAAAAAUGGACACACUUUUAUGGGAAUUUUAUGAGAUUUCGAUAGAUUAUUUUCUGUGAUUCCGUUUUUUUGAAAGUAAAAAAAAACACACUUGUGGUGCCCGAACUAGAUUUGUAUUAUGACCCCGCUUCGAUUGAUCUUUCCAACAAUUUUCGAUGAAACGCUUUUGUGAGAAUCGUGAUUAUCGUUCAAAUUAAACAACUCUGUUGAGUUGCGCAGUCGUUCAGUCUUUCUUUGGAGCAAAUCUAUGAAAAUAAAAUUGUUGACGGACAACCCCAUAUCAAAACAAUAUCGUGAACCUGAUGGUGUCUUCAGAUCCACAUACAAAUUGCAAGAAUUUUGACAAUUUUUUUUUAAAUUUCGAAAUGGCCGACCUAACGCUAUGAGGAAAAAAAAGGAAUCAUUGUUUCCAUUACAACUGGUUCGGGUACCACCACUUUUUAUUUAUGCUUUGUAAUAUUUAAUCUUUUACUGAGAAAAAAAAAUCAAGAUUUUUUAAAGAUUUAACAUUUUUGGCGUUUCUAGUUAUAGCCGCACAUCUCGAUGUAUUAUGAUAGCAUGCUCACCAAAUCCUAGACAGCCUAUAAUUGUAUUGCUUGUCUGAGACCACAUGUAGUUAAUUCCCUUCAAUGAUGACUGCCAUCCCGGUAAAUUCAAAACGACAGAGGCUGUACAUGUUCAGGGAUAUACAUUUUUUGUACUAGUAAGUUAUUUACUGUCACAGUGACUAUAAUUUUGUUUAUAGCUCUAGUUGUGUUUCAAACACUGCACUGCAUUAUUAAUAUCAAUCGUUAAUAGAUAUAAUAUAGAUGGUUUUGAAAGGAAAUGUGUAUUAUGCAAUAGCGGAAUAAUUGAAGAUGAAUUACAUCUAAUUUUCGAAUGUCCCAUAUACAAGGCCUACAGAGACGAGCUAUUAGUACCACGUUGGCCACAUGACCAGGGACACCACACCUUCAUAAAAUUAAUAUCAAGUGAGGUACCCAUUAUACGUUGUAAUUUGUCAAAUUUCCUGUAUCAAGCUUUUAAGUUAAGAUCAGAGGCACUAAAAUUAACUUCUUGAUGGGCAGUAUUUUUAUAUAACAGUUAAUUUUUGUAUUUAUGUAUUAUUAUUGUUUUCAAGAAAUAUAAACUUGAGAUUGUGAUGGGCCUAGUAUGGCAAUAUAGUUAUAAUAUCAAUGUAUUAUCGAAAUAAUAAAUGCUUGAAUCAAUAACGAUAAAAUAA
rnacentral:misc_RNA from 1 species